rnacentral:rRNA from 1 species
AUACGUAGGUGGCGAGCGUUGUCCGGAAUUAUUGGGCGUAAAGAGCAUGUAGGCGGCUUAAUAAGUCGAGCGUGAAAAUGCGGGGCUCCACCCCGUAUGGCGCUGGAAACUGUUAGGCUUGAGUGCAGGAGAGGAAAGGGGAAUUCCCAGUGUAGCGGGGAAAUGCGUAGAUAUUGGGAGGAACACCAGUGGCGAAGGCGCCUUUCUGGACUGUGUCUGACGCUGAGAUGCGAAAGCCAGGGUAGCGAACGGGAUUAGAUACCCCGGUAGUCCUGGCCGUAAACGAUGGGUACUAGGUGUAGGAGGUAUCGACCCCUUCUGUGCCGGAGUUAACGCAAUAAGUACCCCGCCUGGGGAGUACGGCCGCAAGGUUGAAACUCAAAUGAAUUGACGGGG